rnacentral:rRNA from 1 species
AGAAUCAACACUGGCGGCGUGCCUCAGACAUGCAAGUCGAACGCGAAAGUCCCCUUCGGGGGAUGAGUAGAGUGGCGUCCGGGUUAGUAACACGUAGGUAAUCUACCUUUGGGUGGGGAAUAACAACCGGAAACGGUUGCUAAUACCGCAUAAUGCAGCGGCACCGCAUGGUGACAGUUGUUAAAGCGGGGGAUCGCAAGACCUCGCGCCUAAAGAGGAGCCUGUGGCGGAUUAGCUAGUUGGCAGGGUAACGGCCUACCAAGGCAACGAUCCGUA